GAGUUUGAUCAUGGCUCAGAUUGAACGCUGGCGGCAGGCCUAACACAUGCAAGUCGAGCGUGAAAGGGCUUCGGCCUGAGUAAAGCGGCGGACGGGUGAGUAACGCGUAGGAAUCUGCCCAUUAGUGGGGGACAACCCGGCGAAAGCCGGGCUAAUACCGCAUACGCUCUACGGAGGAAAGCGGGGGAUCGUAAGACCUCGCGCUAAUGGAUGAGCCUACGUCGGAUUAGCUAGUUGGUAGGGUAAAAGCCUACCAAGGCGACGAUCCGUAGCUGGUCUGAGAGGACGAUCAGCCACACUGGGACUGAGACACGGCCCAGACUCCUACGGGAGGCAGCAGUGGGGAAUAUUGGACAAUGGGGGCAACCCUGAUCCAGCAAUGCCGCGUGUGUGAAGAAGGCCUGCGGGUUGUAAAGCACUUUCAGCGGGGAAGAAAAGUCGGAGCUAACACCUCCGAAAUUGACGUUACCCGAAGAAGAAGCACCGGCUAACUCCGUGCCAGCAGCCGCUGCGGUAAC
rnacentral:rRNA from 1 species